CUUUGAUGAAUAUAUCUUGAAUCAUGAAGACUUCUGGAUGAUCUCACCCAAAGUAAUGAAAUCAUCACUUUCCUACCAAAUUAGAUCUCACUGUUGUUUUCCUUACCUGCUGUCUGAAGAAGAGGUUUUAUUGUUCUUGUACACCACAAAUAAUUUUUGGCCUUUGAAACUAAAAGUGCUGCAAAGCUCUGAGGAUAUUUAAACAUACCAGCAUAGGUGCCUCCUGAAAAGGAAGGAGAACAUUCCAGAGGCCAAAAUCCAGCUUAACAAGGAUCUUCCUACAAGUCAACAAUGAAGGCAGCAUUAUGAAAAGGAGAGGAUACUUUACAAUAGAAACUAAUUGUUUAGACUCUGAAAUAUCCACAAAAGAGGAAUUGCUGAAGACAACAAUAUUAGCAGAGAUGGAAAAAAUCACUUUUUGAGUAGAGAAAGGACAAUAACUACAUUUAUUAGUAACUGGAAAUGCCUAAUGGACUUUUUGCUGAAAAAAAUGAACUUGAGAUUUAUUAAUUUGAUAUCAGAAAAGCUCUUCAACGUGUUUUGGCAAAUCAUUCUUAGCAUCGAGAGUUCUGAUUUAAAAACAAAAACACAAAAUUGAAGUGAUCAGAACCCCACACCUUUGGGCUGAAGAUUUGCUUAUCAGCAAAGAUGGAAAAUAAAAAAGAUUCCACAUCCCAUUUACACUACUCAGGCGACCCAGAAGGCAUAGAUAAACAUUCAAAUGGCCUCAACAGCUCUUAGAGAGAGUGCUAAUGACCAGAUGACUACAAGAAAUAGAAAUCCGUCCAUUUUCCACCAUUCAGUCAGAACUAAAGAAGCUUCUUGGAUGAGAAGCAAAAUAUCUUCAAAGAGAAAUGAACUGCAGCUGUCUUUUGAAAAAGCAUCUUUGGAAGCCCUCUGUAUGUUGUUGAAUGCCCAGGAUCUCCACCUGAUGUGUAAAUUGUAUCCAAACAACAUCUGGAAUCAUAGGCUCCCCAUUUCUGUCUUAAUUCUGACAUUUUUAUGAUAAUUCAGGUAAACCGAAUUUCAUGUGACCACACCCAAAUUUACAACCUUUUUUGUAGUGAUCAUUAAGCAAAUAAUAACAUCAUUAUAUGAGCAUCACAUUCAUUAAGUGAACUAUAAUUUUUUGUGAAACAUUUUUGCCAGAAACUGAAAGUAAAUGCUCAAUGACCAUUGGGGUGUGGCCAUUGGAAUUUUUCCAGGUUCUUUCUCAAAGCCAUUUCUCAGAAUUGCAGAGGGUUCCCUCAAGAUCAGUAGUGGGGAAUUAAUUUUCCCAAGGGGUCACGGGAGAAACUGGGAUUCUUGCAGAAGGCCAAACCAAUAAGGUUGUGAAGAUGCAUAGGUACACAUGCAUAAACUAAAAAGAAAAGCAAUUGCCUUCAAAAUAAAAGCAAUUCAAUUGUACUGUGUGCAUGGCAUACGCUUACAUACAUUCUAAUUUCCAACUGAUCUCACACAGGCUGGACAGAGAUAGCCAAAGAGCCAGAUGUAGUCCUGGGGGGUGUAAAAUGCCCAGUUCUGUUAAAGAUCCAGAUGGACCCAACUCUGCUGCUGUUCCAAAGGGCGAUGAAGGCCUUUCAAAAGGGAGAGUGAGAUCCCUCUCUUUAGUCCAACUGACUAUCACAUUUUCCAUCCUUUAUUAAUUUGAUUAUAAUUUGUUUGAUUGUUGUGAGCUUCUUAAAAUCAUUGAAUGUCUGGUAACAUACAACUUUAGAUCAUCAUCAUCAUCAACAUGAUUCAUUGCCUGGGUUUACACAACACACUUAAAAUAUACUUAAAUGUUUAAAAUUUAAGUAUUUUAAUAACUUUAAAAAGAAAGCAGCAGAAGUGAUUACUAUAUCUCCAAACUUUCAAGCUUGUUAAAGAUCACUUGCCAUUUGAUUGCAGUAUAUCUUAUUCCCAGCCCCAGUUCAUGGAGUAGCAGCAAAUAGCCAAUGAAAUCUCUCCUGUUCUGUGCAAUUACAGACUAAUGGACAUCUCUAUUCCAUUAUGUCAGUGGUAGAAACUUCAGGUGGUAGCGCAAUACAGCAGCAACAGUGAUAAUUUAACUGGACCCUUCCCAAAAGAACAAAGCAGCAUGAGGUGAUAAGUACUUGACACAUCCACAUUUGAUUAAACAAUAAAAUGUCUCAAUUCACGCAUGCAUAAACAUUUCAAGAAAAGGCCUGAUUCAUUUUUUAGAGCUGUGAAUUGAUUUAUAGUUAAGUUUUUCUUUACCAUUUUAAUUUAAAACGUUUUGUUUUAAAUAAAAAAUGGCUUUAUUUUAUAAAAAUAAUAGUUCACCAGAUAGUUUUAAAGCUAAAAUCAAUCAGCAUAUUGAUGUCAUUGAGAUAACAGGUAUUAUCUGUUAUAAAAGAUAUUGCACAAGGUUUGUUUGUGUUGAGAAAACUGCUUUGAUUUAAGCCAUUUUAAAGACUGAUUCAUAUGGAACAGUGUAGAUUAUCAACCAAACAAGUCAGCUAAUUUACUAGACACUGCACAUCAGGAUAUUCAUUUUCUAGGGCUUAUUUUUAGAGAGAUAAUAAGAUGAAGCUUGAGUUCACAGCUGUAAAGUGUGUUUUUAUUUUAGGGAUGCUAGACAAUAAUUGGGACUGAUUUUAAAAGUAUAUAUUUGUGCAAACUGUCAUUCAAUUAAGAUGCAAAAGUGGGCUUAAUUAUGUGGGCUUGGUGUUUUAUUUCAAGCAGUAUCAGGUAUUUCAAGAAAAAAUGGAAUUCAAGAUCAUCAGUUGGACAUACAAAGUAAGUUACUUUACUUUUUGUUUUCUUCAUGCUUGGUUUUAAAUUUUAGUCCAGGGCCAUCACCAGACACUCUUAUUCUAGCCUGCCUCAUAUAAUCCCAUUUAAUCAGAUGACAGGAUCAAACAUAGUUGUUGCAAAUCGGCUAUGUUAUUUGCUAUCAUUUUAAGGCAGGAAACAGGACAAUUACAGAGUUUAACAUAAAGAAGUCUAACUCAGUUUUUUAAACAACCUCCUCAAAAGAGAAAAAAUGAAAUGAGUGAAGUUACUCACUCUACUUUGCAAUCAUAUCCUAUGGUCCCAUUCACCAACUUUAACUUUAACUUUUAACUUUAAUAAGAUUUGUAUGCUGGUCACUCCCUUGGGACUCUGAACUAUUAUGUAACUCAAAUUCCUCCCUAUUAGACACCAUAUGCAAAUUAUCCAUAAUAUCGUUGCUUUAAAUUAUUGUGGUGCAUGUGUGUGUGUGUGUGUGUGUUUAAAUCAAUAUUUACUCCUGGAGAUUGCCUCAAUCAAUCCCUGCAGUUUUCUUGGCAAGAUUUCAGAAGUGGUUUACUAUUGUUUGCUUCUUAGGGCUGAGAGAGUGUGCCUAUUCUAAGAUCAUCCAGCUGGCUUCAUCCCUAAGUGGGACCAGAACUUGUAGACUCCCGGUUUUUAGCCUGGUAUCUUAAUCACUAUACCAAACUGGCUCAAAUUAGUAGAACUAUCUGCUUUAAUAAAACGAAUGAUAUACGUAUUAUUUUGUUCAAAGUAAAUACCAUGUUUCCCCGGAAAUAAGACAGGAUCUUAUUUUCUUACCCCCCCC